CCCUGCUCUACCUCAACAAAUUCUGUUGGCGGAGGUGUAGGGAAGACACGGCGCAACUCGAGGUGUUCUAUAUCGAGCACGGGAGGAAGACGCCCCCGAACCCGGCACUGCGAUUGGCCACAGGCACAACCGCGGCCCCGCCCACUCACUGAGGGAAGUAAAUAAGUUCCUGCAAGAAUUUUUGCCGUAGCUCCACCUCAUCCACUGCGCGAGGGGAGGUGUGGCUAGCACCGGGGGGGCGGGCCUAUGGAAAGAUUGCCCUUACGGGGGCGGGGAAACGAACCCGGCUCCUGGGUUUGAGGGUAGGGUUUCUCUUUGGGGGCGUGGCUUACGGAUCCAAGCUUUCCCGCCGACAGUUGGCCACGUCACGUGACAUGGGUUGGAAGAUGGCGUCUCCCACGGACGGGGCAGAUCUAGAAGCAUCUUUGCUAAGUUUUGAAAAACUUGACCGGGCUUCACCAGACCUUUGGCCAGAACAGUUACCAGGUGUUGCUGAAUUUGCAGCUUCCUUCAAGAGUCCUAUUACUAGCUCUCCACCCAAAUGGAUGGCUGAAAUAGAACGUGAUGACAUCGACAUGUUGAAAGAACUGGGGAGCCUCACCACAGCUAACUUGAUGGAGAAGGUACGAGGCCUUCAGAACCUGGCCUAUCAGUUGGGGCUGGAUGAGUAGCCUCAUAUGUAGGAAAGUAGCUGUAUAAACCCUCUUGUAACUACAGCAUUCAAAGAUUGAUGGUACUGAAAGUCAGAGAAAGACACAUAAACCUUGCCUGGCUAUAUUAAAUAUCUAAGGACUGACAAUGCCAAGAGAGAGAAGACCAAAGCUCUAUAAACCCUACUUUAUUACUCCAUCCACAGAUGAACUGCACUGAGGGAAUAUAAACCUUGUUAUAUUACAGUGUCCAGGGACUACCACUCCUGAGAGAUGGGCCAGAGAGAUGACAAGGGGGAAAUUCCUCAACAUUCUAGAGAAGCCCAAGAAGUAGCAGCUGCUUGUGGACAGGAUGUCCUGGGGCCCGGAGCCAUGCUUCCUUCCCAGUGCAGCUCUGAAGAUGCACACCUCACUGCUUCUUGACCAGAGACCAGAGGGUGCACUCCAGAAUUCACCCGCUCCCCUGCUUCUGGCACUCUGCACCUCUGAGGACGUUCGGCAGCAAGAGAGGAAUCUGCUCUACCCAAGGAUCGGUGCAGUUAUUCCAUCAGCUUCCAGACUUUGACCAUCUCAACCUCGGAUGUUGGUGACACCAGAGAGCAUAUCAUUCUUAAAGGUCAAAGUCCUGCUUUCUCAUUUCCAGAAGUGAUUCAGGAGUUCCAGGAUCUUACAGUUGAUUUGAUUCAGUGAUGGCAAAGUCAGUUAAGACAUGUUGAUUGGACAAGUUCCUUUGAAUUGUACUUCGUGUCUUAGGAAUUAUUUAUGAUGCUAGGAGACCAGAGGCCAAUUAGAUUCUGGACCAGUUAGAUUCAGAUCAGGGUGCAGUUUGACCUGCGAACCCACCAAUGUAUACUAGGUUCCAGGAAUCCCCAGCUAGAGAAAUGCUUUUGAAACUCUACACCUCUCAUAAUAGUUGCAUCCUUCAAUGCCUUCUGUUCCCCACCUCCAAGGGCCCCCCAUGUGUCUUGACUCUGGGGAGCGGGAUCCCUGUGUACCAAGUCCCUCCUGGGAUUAGCUUGUACAGUGAAAGGCUCAUGCAGUGUUGCAUUGGGUUCUAGAUAUCAAGACUAGCUUAAAGGUGAUGGAAAGGACUUUUGAGUUCUGGUUAAUCUGUUACAGAUUCAAGUGAGAAAGUAGGUAUGGUCUGAAAGAUGGGAGAAAGGGAUUGAGUACAGGAGUUCCCAUUUGAUUAAAAACUAGAAAUUCUAAUUGACCUUAAAGGAAUGUGCUGUGGAAUGGUGGCAAUAUUUUCCCUGCCCGCCCCCCAUCCCAUCUCAUAGCACAGAUUAGAUAGUGCACUCAUAUAAUAGAAAUACACACACACACACACACAUGAGAAAGAAUUUCUUGACUCUACAAUUCUUAUGGAGCUCUUUGUCCAUUAUCUAUGUUAAGACCUGAAAAUCUAACCCAUGUUUAAAAUUGAUUAUAAGUAUUCUCCUUAUUUUGUCUUGUAAGCCAGUCCCCAGCUUCUGUUAUUUUGAGAAGUUCAUGGGGUUUCCUAAACUUUAUGAAAAGAACAUCCAUGUGGCAGUAGUGUGUUAGUGUUUAGACACUAGGGAUGUUGUGGUCAAGGUUUUGAUGCUGAGUGUCUGGCUAGGGUACAGUGCUACUCAGUUUAAUAGCUGGUCCAUUAGCCAUUUUCUGACCCUUCUGCCUUGUUUCCCAUGCUAGAAUUAAGGUUCUAUUUUUCUUUCAUUUGGUUCCUUUGACCAUCCAUGCAAUUUUACUUAUUGAUCAGAGUGGGUGGAAUUUAACACAAGACAUUAAAAGAGAGUAUGAGAAGGCGAACAUUCUGUUUGGAUGCAAUAUAUAAGGUUAGGCUAGAGAGGUUUUGAUUUUAAGUAAAGCUUAUCAUUGACAUUCCUUUAUCUUAAAUGCGGUUAAAGAAUGUAAAAGAUGGGGAGAGAGAAGGAAGGAGGGCUGUGCAAAAAAAUAAUGCCACAAUGUUAGGUUCUAACUUUGCUCUGUUUUUUGAGUUGAUGGUGUCAGGCACUUCUAAGUGCUUGGGGAAAUUGAGAAAUAGAUGGAGAACAUUGGGAUACCUCCCUCAAACCAACUCCAGUCUGUAAACUGGUUUUGGGGUCUGCUUUGGCCUCUUCCUUUUACUGUCAUCUUAUCCACCAGCACUUAAUAUACAUAGAUGUUUUAGAAUUGCAAUAUUUAUUGGUUUUGUAUUUGCCGUCCUUAGAAAUGUUAUUGAUUUAUUUUUAUAUUGAUAAUAUAAAUUUAUGUACAAUGUGUGCAUGUAUGUAUUUUAGGGUGUUAGAGGAUUGUACUUUGUGUAUAGUGGUUUCUGUGUCGUCAUAAUAAAUAUGUACCUUUUAUUAGGA